AGAGUUUGAUCCUGGCUCAGGACGAACGCUGGCGGCACGCUUAACACAUGCAAGUCGAACGGAGUUAAACGAGAGCUUGCUCUUGUUUAACUUAGUGGCGGACGGGUGAGUAACACGUGAGCAACCUGCCUUUAAGAGAGGGAUAACAGUCUGAAAAGACUGCUAAUACCUCAUAAUAUAACGAAGCCGCAUGACUUUGUUAUCAAAGAUUUAUCGCUUAAAGAUGGGCUCGCGUCUGAUUAGCUUGUUGGUGAGGUAACGGCCCACCAAGGCGACGAUCAGUAGCCGUACUGAGAGGUAGAUCGGCCACAUUGGGACUGAGACACGGCCCAGACUCCUACGGGAGGCAGCAGUGGGGAAUAUUGCACAAUGGAGGAAACUCUGAUGCAGCGAUGCCGCGUGAGGGAAGAAGGUUUUCGGAUUGUAAACCUCAGUCUUCAGGGACGAUAAUGACGGUACCUGAGGAGGAAGCUCCGGCUAACUACGUGCCAGCAGCCGCGGUAAUACGUAGGGAGCAAGCGUUGUCCGGAAUUACUGGGUGUAAAGGGAGUGUAGGCGGGAUGGUAAGUUAGGUGUGAAAUCUAUGGGCUCAACCCAUAAAUUGCACUUAAAACUGCUGUUCUUGAGUGAAGUAGAGGUUAGUGGAAUUCCUAGUGUAGCGGUGAAAUGCGUAGAUAUUAGGAGGAACAUCAGUGGCAAAGGCGGCUAACUGGGCUUUUACUGACGCUGAGGCUCGAAAGCGUGGGGAGCAAACAGGAUUAGAUACCCUGGUAGUCCACGCUGUAAACGAUGAUUACUAGGUGUGGGGGAGGCUGACCCUUUUCCGUGCCGCAGUUAACACAAUAAGUAAUCCACCUGGGGA
rnacentral:rRNA from 1 species